CUGAACAUAGAAACAAUACCACAAACUCUUGCUGAAAACCCUAGUUCUAGAGAGAGAGAGAGAGGGAGAAAAAGGGAGGGAUAACUGCAUAAACUCAGGGAAGUUCAGAGAAAAUACUCAUCAGAGGAAAACUUAGACUAAGUUGAAGAAGCUGAAAAUCAAGGGAUAGGCUAAAGGACUCUGUGGGCUGCAAGGGAUGCUAGUCAAUAGUAGAAGGAACAAAGAGAAAUAGAGUGGGAGAAAGGGACAAAUGACAACCAUCACAAGGCAUCACCAAGCCAAGGAUACCAUCAAACAUAAUUUCUUAAAUAUUCAAUGACUGAAAAUCAAUUACUACUAGAUAUUUACAGGACCAAUGCUCGAGCUCAAGCAGAAAUCCUAGAUACUAGUCUCCAAAAUUAGAAGACCUGAAUAUUUUAGAAAUGUUUUUGCACUUGGAAGAAGAACUAGAAAAGGGAAUAAAUAUUGUGAUAAUUAGAUUCUACUCAGAUUUGGUGCUAAAAUACCCAUGGAAAUUUAAAAAACUGAAAAUAAGUAAAAUUACAGUAAUUUACUACAAAAUAGAAAUUCUAAAAUUAGUAAACUUGACUUUGCACUUGAACUUGAAUCCCCUGUGGAAAAGCAAGACAUGAACUACAGAAAAUUACUAGGCACAACUUUCUUAUGUUUAUUAAUAGUGGCUAACAGCAUUUACAAAGUAUAAUUCCACAUAUUGAUCUCAUAGACAAUAUACGUUAAUUAUUGCAACCAUUUUCACUGCCAAGAUGUUCCCAUCUCCAAAGACAGUGAAUGCAAAAAAAUAAAAAUUAUGUACAAACAAAUCAAUUUAAUCAUUUUCAUCCUGAUUUAAGAUAUUGGCUUGAUUCAUCUUGAUGUAAACAAGGUAUGCUCCCCAUAUACAGCUCAAGUGCACAAAUAAUUUAAGAAGCAAUAUAUCAGUAACUUAUCACAAGUAUCAAACAAUAGCUUCAAAUAUCAUAACUCAGAACUAUGUGCUGCAAAUGACGAUAUGUUACCAUUUAAAUUUUAAUGCAUAAUCAUCCCAUUUUAUGAAGAAAGAUAUAUGGUUUUACGGGCAAGAAUAUGAUUAGAUUUUAUUAAUCAAAUCUCCCUUCCCAAAGAAGAGAAAUAAAUUGAGAAGAGGAUUUACAAUUUAUUUUGCAAUGAAAUAUCACAUGUUAUUUACAUGCAUAAAUAUGGGUGUGUAUAUAUAGUGAAUGGGUAAAUGAUAAAAACUUAUAAGCUGGUUGGUUUGGGUGCAUAGAUAUUACAAGAAGACAAAUGACAGUGAAGUUAAUGAUGAUACUUAGCUUUUUUUUAUAUUCUAUGAUCAUGGAAAGUAUUUCACAUUUAAAAGACAUAGCAGUAUAAUAGACACCAAAAUAGCACAAGCUCGUGAAAUUAUUAGUCAAUAGUAUAUUUGGUAAAGAAGGGGAGCUUAGGCACAACUGUAAGGUUGUCACCGUAUGACCUAGAGGUCACGGGUUCAAGGCGUGGAAAUAGACUCUUACAAAAAUGCAAGGUAAGACUGCGUACUAUAGACCCAUUGUGGUCUGCCCCUUCCCCAGACCCCACAUAUGCGGGAGCUUUGUCCACCGCGCUGCCCUUUUAUUUUUUUAAGUAUAUUUGGUAAAUUUUCUAAUUUACCAUUUUCAUUGUGCCAAUUGCAUUUUUUUUUUCAAUUUUUAUGAAUUGCUUAUGUAGCAUGGUUUACCAUCCAAUACUAAGUUGUAUCAUUGAUA